rnacentral:rRNA from 1 species
UGGCUCAGGACGAACGCUGGCGGCGUGCCUAAUACAUGCAAGUCGAACGGUCUUUCUAUGGAAGCUUGCUUCCACUGAGAAGAUAGUGGCGAACGGGUGAGUAACACGUGGGUAACCUGCCCAUAAGAGGGGGAUAACAUCCGGAAACGGGUGCUAAUACCGCAUAGUUUUCUUGAUCGCAUGAUCGGGAAAGGAAAGACGGCCUUUGUGCUGUCGCUUAUGGAUGGACCCGCGGCGUAUUAGUUAGUUGGUGAGGUAACGGCUCACCAAGACGAUGAUACGUAGCCGACCUGAGAGGGUGAUCGGCCACAUUGGGACUGAGACACGGCCCAAACUCCUACGGGAGGCAGCAGUAGGGAAUCUUCCGCAAUGGACGAAAGUCUGACGGAGCAACGCCGCGUGAGUGAAGAAGGUUUUCGGAUCGUAAAACUCCGUCGUCAGAGAAGAACAAGUUGGAGAGUAACUGCUCCAGCCUUGACGGUAUCUGACCAGAAAGCCACGGCUAACUACGUGCCAGCCGCCGC